rnacentral:lncRNA from 1 species
AUACAAUCGGACAUUUUGAAGGAUCUAAAGAACUGUUAAUUUUGAUGAACAAACUAAGGCGCGGGGAAGUGCAAUGACCUGCCCAAGGACACGCUGUUAGAGACAGCAGAACCAUGAGUUGGACAUCAGUGGUAUAGUGAGUUGAAUGGUGACUGGAGGCCCACAUCCUAGCCCCUGGAACCUGUGACUGUGAUCUUACUCGGAAAAACAGUCUUUCUGAGGUAAAUUAAGGAUCGUGAGAGGUAUCAUCUAGAUUAUCUGGGUGGGCUCUGAUUUCAAUGAUAAGUGUACUUUCAAGAGACAAAAGAAAGAAGAGUCAGAGAGGAGGAGGAGGAAGCAAUGUGACCUUGGAGGCAGAGAAUGGAAAGAUACAGCCACAAGCCUAAGAAUGCCUGAAGUUACCAGAAACAAGAAGAGGCAAGGAAGGAAUCUCCUCUAAAGCCUCCAGAGCAAGCAUGGCCCUGCUAACACUUUGAUUUUGACUUUUGGUCUCCAGGACUAUGAGAGAAUAUGUUUCUGUUGUAAGUCACUCAGUUUGUGGUCAUUUGCUGGGGCAACACUAGGAAAAUCUAUAGGUGGCCCAGCUCCAUAACCUGUGUUCUCAAUCCUGAAGCUAUACUGUCUCUCAAAGGAGCAGAUAAUCCUUAACGUUUGAAAUUCAUGCUACCCUUUCCCAGGAUGUUUGCUUCACCAUCCUCCAAAGCUACUAUUUCAAACAUUCUCUCUCUUAAAAUUAGUACAUCUUUUUUCUCUUCUCCUUAGUCUUAUUUGAUGAAAUUGCUCCAUAUUUUAUUUAUAAACAAACCCCUUUGAUUGUUCAAUUUCCAAACUUACCAAAUUGGCUCUCCACAUUUUUGAAUUUUUUCUUCUUAUGUAGUUGAAGUAUUCUCUGCUUCUAUCCAAAGAAACACUUACACAGCUCUAUAUCUUCUUAUUUGCUGUCUCAAAUUAUUUACUCUGGUAUUCAUUAUCUAUUGCUGUGUAACAAAUUACCCCAGAACUUAGCAUCUUGAAAUAACAGAUAUUUAUUAGCAAAGUUUUUGUGCAUCAGAUAUCUGGAAAUGUCCCACCUGUGUCCCCUGCUUCAGAGUCUUUCACAAAGCUGCAAUCAAGGUGUCAGCCAGCAUUGGAGUCUCAUCUGAAGACUCAACUGGGGAAGUAUAUGUUUCUAAUUUCACUUAUGUGGCUGUUGACACAAAUCAGUUUUUAUACUUGUGUUGACUGUGAGACUCAGUUAUUUGCUGGCUGUUAUACAGAACCCAUCAUCAGAUGCUUGCCACAUGGGACUUCCCAAUAUGGCAGCUUGUUUUAUCAAAGCUGAAGAGAGUCUGAAAGCAAGACAGUAGUCAUAGUCUUAUGUAACCUAAUCAUGUGAGUGACAGCCUAUAAUCUCUACCACAUUCCAUUAGAAGCAAUUUGCUAGGCUAGCCAACACUCGGGGAAAGGGAUGAAUACUCAAGGACUAUGGAUCACUGGGGCCAUAUUAGAAUCCACCUGUGACAAUUCUCCAAUGCCUUCUUUCUCCUACAUAAUCACAUUCUCCAUCUCUAAUAGAACACACUAGUCAGUAUACAAACAUGCUUUAGAUUAUCUCAUUUUACAAAAAUCCUGUGACUCCAUUCUUUCAGCUAGUACCCACUUUUUUAUUUUUUAUUUUUAUUUUUAUUUUCAGACAGUUUUGCUCUUGUUGCCCAGGCUGGAGUGCAAAGGUGUGAUCUCGGCUCACUGCAACCUCUGCCUCCUAGGUUCAAGUGAUUCUCCUGCCUCAGCCUCCCGAGUAGCUGGGAUUACAGGCGCCUGCCACCACACCCAGCUAAUUUUUGUAUUUUUAGUAGAGAUGGGGUUUCAUCAUGUUGGUCAGGCUAGUCUAGAACUCCUGACCUUCCUGACCUCAGGUGAUCCACCUGCCUCGGCCUCCCAAAGUGCUGGGAUUACAGGCGUGAGCCACUGCACCCAGCCUUAUUAUUUUUUAAUUUUGUGGUUAUCACUUUAUGUAUCUUGUUUAUGAAAUUUUAUCCUCU